rfam:Canis lupus familiaris chromosome 20, whole genome shotgun sequence.
AGCUUUGCACAGUGGCAGUAUCAUAGCCAAUGAGGUUUAUCUGAGGUGUGAUUAUUGGUAAUUGAAAACUUUUCCCAAUAUCCCACCGUGACAUGAUACAUACAUACACACAAUAAAAUACUAUUUAGAGAAAU